rnacentral:rRNA from 1 species
CGGAUCUCUUGGUUCUGGCAUCGAUGAAGAACGCAGCGAAAUGCGAUAAGUAAUGUGAAUUGCAGAAUUCAGUGAAUCAUCGAAUCUUUGAACGCACAUUGCGCCCUUUGGUAUUCCGAAGGGCAUGCCUGUUCGAGCGUCAUUAUCAACCAUCAAGCUCUGCUUGGCAUUGGGUGUCGACCCCCCCUCACCGGGUGGUCUCGCCUCAAACUGUUCGGCGGUGGCUCAGGGCCUCAAGCGUUAGUAAUACUUCCCGCUUCGGAGAAACUGAGUUGCCUGCCUCCAGAAACCCCCAUCUCAAGGUUGACCUCGGAUCAGGUAGGGAUACCCGCUGAGCUUAAGCAUAUCAAUAAGCGGAGGAAAAGAAACCAACAGGGAUUGCCCCAGUAACG